UACGGGGGGGCAAGCGUUGUUCGGAAUUACUGGGCGUAAAGGGCUCGUAGGUGGCCAACUAAGUCAGACGUGAAAUCCCUCGGCUUAACCGGGGAACUGCGUCUGAUACUGGAUGGCUUGAGAUUGGGAGAGGGAUGCGGAAUUCCAGGUGUAGCGGUGAAAUGCGUAGAUAUCUGGAGGAACACCGGUGGCGAAGGCGGCAUCCUGGACCAACACUGACGCUGAGGAGCGAAAGCCCAGGGGAGCAAAGCGGG
rnacentral:rRNA from 1 species